AACCCGUACUACCGAAUUUGUG
rnacentral:miRNA from 1 species